rnacentral:lncRNA from 1 species
UGAAACCCAGCAGCGUAGAUAUGAGCGUGGCGACACGUGUAGUUUAUGUGGAACUUUGGAAGUCUUAGCAAGUUUUCCUCGCCCAGUUUCAGCCUGGAGCUGAUCCAUCACCCCUUUCUCAAAUCAUCUUUGGUUCUGUUCAGUCACAGUCAAGUAGAUGCGUGGAGAUACCGAACUCUCUUUCCUUUCGGCGUCUUUUCCCAGAGCUAGGGCCAUUCCCUAGCUCCACGCCUGAUCACGACGGCUGAUCUCGAGAUCUCAUGGCGGGUCCAUAGGGGCCAUCAUAAAAAAUUACCCUUCAAAGGGGCUCGUUUUGCAACUCAGUGUUGAAACUGACCUCCUUUCACUUCAGCUCCGAUGAUUCCAUCUCGGGGACUUUGCUUGCAUCAAUCUUUGAAUACGUAUAUGACCCUUGAAAGCAACAGGUAAAUGAAAUGUUUGGUAUUUGGACGUGGCCAACUCGUACGCACUCGUAGGUCGUAGGGUAUAGUUUGUGCAUGACUUCUAGCCCUGAGGACUUUGGCAUGCCGGUUCAUGUCAAAUGUUAUGGUUUUUCAAAUAUUUAAAUUCACCUAUA